rnacentral:lncRNA from 1 species
UGCCAUGACUACUCAAUAUGUUUCAAAGAUUUCUCACUAACAGGAUUGCAUCCAUUUCACAGGCAGUAGCUGAAGAUCACGUCACUACAGCUCUUCUUCUUCAGUUCAGCUGAAACCACAAUAAUAGCUGCCACUAAUCAACAAGAAGUAGUUAAAGAAAAGGGCGUCAGUGGCAUCCUCAGACUACAGUGUGCAGCCGUCUCACCGGCCACCCUGUCCACCUCUGUGCUCCCCGAAACUUUCCCUUCUCCAAGGAGAGGGUUUCCGGCUGCCCGGGGAGCAGUGUGAGUGCAACAGCUUCGUGGUGGGAUCCUCUCUCCGGGGCUCUCUGUCUACGUCCCUGGCCAGCGUGGGCUCCCUUCUGCUGCCUCUUUACCCUUCCAAACGCUGGUGUCUCCAUCUCGCUUCAGCCUGCUCCUGCCCUCAGAAGAAACGGCUUUCUGACUGGCUGACAGCUCUUGCAGAUGGCUGGGUCUCUGACAUUGACUGGCUCACAGCUCUUGCAGAUGGCUGGGUCUCUGACGCCCUCGGGUCCUCUCUCACUGAGGGCUCCAGUCUCCAGAAGCGUGCAGGGCUGGGGAGGCUCAGUGGUAGCGCAUUUGCCCAGCACGCCCCAGGCACCGCCUUCGACCCCAGCACUGACCAAGCACAGAGAGAAACAAGGGCUGGGGAUGUAACUCAGUGGUCCAUACCUUGCAUAGCACGUGUGAGGCACCAGGUCCCGUCCCAGUGAGGAAAAGCAAAAUAAAAGCGAAUAGAGGAGUCACUGGCACCUCUCCCAGCUACCACCGAUUUCGUGGCAGUUGCUCCCCUGCGGCCCCCGACGAAGAUGUGCACCUCGGCCUUGGUUCCUGAGAGAAUCGUGCACACAGGACGUCAUCGAUGCAGUGGAUGUCACCACAGGAGUGGAAGGAUGCAGUGGUUGUCACCACAGCAAAACCCAGACCCCUGAAAGUCAUAUUUCAGUAAUGUUCGCGUCUCACAACUACCUUGGGAACUCCUCCCUGGCCCUUUUCCUCUGGACUUAAGCCCUGGUGAGACCGAUGGCCCCAUCCUGCCUCCCACCCCACCAGCAACCUCUUAUUUUCUCAGAGACGGAAGUAGCUUCCUUCUGUUUUGGUUGUUUUGCUUUGUACUGGGGAUUGAACCCAGAACCUUGUUGUCUCCGUUUUCUAAAAAGAAAAAAAGCCAGAGAAGUGAUCCUGCUACGCUUGAUGCGGAUCUAAAAUAAAGAGAGGAAGAGAGGCUCUCACCACUGUGCACCAAGGAGCCCUUUGUCUUUCCCAGCUCGCACCACUCCCACCGCAGGCUCAGGCACGCACUGACCCGGAGCAGAUCCAGUCCUCCUGGGUGCCCGCCCACUUCCUCCUCCAUCCCCUCACUCCUUCCUCUGGGCCCCCACAGCAUUCCUCCUUGCUCUGCCUUCCCGCACGCGCGUGGCCAGGAACCCUGCGAGCGAUGAAACAGGCAAGGACAACAGAGUGACAGGUAAAAGGCGUCCUUGCACCUGGGAGGUUUGUUUGGGAAACAGGUCUUGAACACCCAGACUUCGAUGUUGAGCUUCAGGGCUACCAGGAAGGUGGGCACCAUGAACAGGACGUGCACUCGGAUCUCCAGGGUGCUCCUGUUCUCAACGUGGGCAGCCAUCAGCAGCACCACCACGUAGAAGGCCAGGGCCUCGGCUGCCCGCUCCAACUUCACAUUCUGCCGGGCCAGAUAACCUCUGGCUGACGAUGUCCACCACCCCACUGAACAUAAAGAAGGAGUACAUGGUGAUGUGCUGCCAGCUGUCCUUGAACAAAAACGGCCGCUGAGGGUCGCCCCAGUCUACCAGCCUCGUCCGGUUUGCCCCUGGGGGGUAGAAGAGCUCACCUAAGAUGCCAGUAAAAGUGAAAAACACCUUCAACAUUCCCUCCAGUGGUACCCAGUGCCACAGACUGCGUCCUCGCCUCUCUCUUGAUUGCAGAGGGGGUUUGAGAACCCUGUGGCCCCACAGUAGGGCCAGAGACAGCAACACUGCAUAGUACAGUGAAAAGAGAAGAAAACCUAUUGCUGGUAGCAAGUAUCCCUCAUGGUUUCCACGGUUGGGGUUUGUUUCGAGACUGGCAGGAUUGGAGGGAACCGGCAGAUGAGCAGAGCUAUAGUUGACUGUCUUCCCAAGCUUCUGAGCUCCAGAGAGAUUGUCCCGGGAGCUGCGCCCCAUCUCCCACACAAAGGAAGGAGCCACUUCUAGGGCGUGGCCACCACGUGACUACAGGCAAGCAGCUUUGUCUUCAUGGGCUUUGAUUUCAUUUUUUAUUUUAAAAGUUGUUUUCUUUUUUUACCAGUACAUAUUGGCAGCUCAUAAUUAUUGGGGGACGCCUGACCACUGGACUGAGGGUUUGAGUGCAGGAUGAAAGAAUUAUAGACAAAGAAUAAAUACUUAAUUCUUUGGGAGGCCACGAACUGAUCUUCUGGUCUAGGAUCAUGAUUUCUGGAUUUGUCAGCACUUAUUGUUUAUAGAGCGUAGCAGGAGGUGCAAGGGCGGAUGCAGGGAACAGUGGACUAAGACUGUAAGGAACCAGACUUGUCAAAGGGAGGAGCCACCACAUUCAUCUGAAGGACAGGUUGCAGUUAGCAAGCCACCCGUGUCACCUUUGGCUAACAUUUGAUGUGUGAGAGCAGCUUCAUAAAAGUCAUAAACCCUCAGCUUUGGUGUAAUCUUGCUUUCAGAGGUGUUACAGUAUCAACGGCCAUCAAGGCCUCCACUGUGGCCGAUGGCGUAGGGAAUCCUGUUUCCACAUGCUGGCCAGAGGCUCAUCUGGAAAAUCACACACAGCCCUUGGGUUGACUCAUACUUUAACCAAUAGCCGAUUUAUAAGCCAAUUCAAUGGCAUUUAAAGCCUGCGCAGUGCAGUUUCAAGCUGUUCUCCUGAGCGUAAAGAUUACUUUCCUUGUGGGAAGUUGACAUGUGUACAUAACACAUCUUAAUUCCUUUGUAUCCUCUCUUCUUCCUGUCUUCCCUCCCUGCUCCUUCUCCUGGCCUCUUUCCC